GGAUUCCCCUAGUAACUGCGAGUGAAGCGGGAAAAGCUCAAAUUUAAAAUCUGGCGGUCUUGGCCGUCCGAGUUGUAGUCUGGAGAAGUGCUUUCCGCGCUGGACCGUGUAUAAGUCUCUUGGAACAGAGCGUCAUAGAGGGUGAGAAUCCCGUCUUUGACACGGACUACCAGUGCUUUGUGAUGCGCUCUCAAAGAGUCGAGUUGUUUGGGAAUGCAGCUCAAAAUGGGUGGUGAAUUCCAUCUAAAGCUAAAUAUUGGCGAGAGACCGAUAGCGAACAAGUACCGUGAGGGAAAGAUGAAAAGCACUUUGGAAAGAGAGUUAAACAGUACGUGAAAUUGCUGAAAGGGAAACGCUUGAAGUCAGUCGCGUCUGCCGGAACUCAGCCUUCCUCUUGGUUGGUGCACUUUCCGGUAGACGGGUCAGCAUCGAUUUUGACCGUCGGAAAAGGGCUGGGGAAAUGUGGCACCCUUCGGGGUGUGUUAUAGUCUUCAGUCGCAUACGGCGNUCGGGAUCGAGGAACGCAGCGCGCCGCAAGGCAGGGGUUCGCCCACUUACGCGCUAAGGAUGCUGGCAUAAUGGCUUUAAACGACCCGUCUUGAAACACGGACCAAGGAGUCUAACAAACCUGCGAGUGUUUGGGUGGAAAACCCGAGCGCGUAAUGAAAGUGAAAG
rnacentral:rRNA from 1 species